GAUGAACGCUGGCGGCGUGCCUAAUACAUGCAAGUCGAGCGAACGGACGAGAAGCUUGCUUCUCUGAUGUUAGCGGCGGACGGGUGAGUAACACGUGGAUAACCUACCUAUAAGACUGGGAUAACUUCGGGAAACCGGAGCUAAUACCGGAUGAUAUUUUGCACCGCAUGGUUCAAAAGUGAAAGACGGUCUUGCUGUCACUUAUAGAUGGAUCCGCGCUGCAUUAGCUAGUUGGUAAGGUAACGGCUUACCAAGGCAACGAUGCAUAGCCGACCUGAGAGGGUGAUCGGCCACACUGGAACUGAGACACGGUCCAGACUCCUACGGGAGGCAGCAGUAGGGAAUCGUCCGCAAUGGGCGAAAGCCUGACGGAGCAACGCCGCGUGAGUGAUGAAGGUCUUCGGAUCGUAAAACUCUGUUAUUAGGGAAGAACAUAUGUGUAAGGAACUGUGCACAUCUUGACGGUACCUAAUAAGAAAGCCACGGCUAACUACGUG
rnacentral:rRNA from 1 species